AUCCUACGGGGGGCAGCAGUGGGGAAUAUUGCACAAUGGGGGAAACCCUGAUGCAGCGACGCCGCGUGAGUGAAGAAGUAAUUCGUUAUGUAAAGCUCUAUCAGCAGGGAAGAAAAUGACGGUACCUGAGUAAGAAGCCCCGGCUAACUACGUGCCAGCAGCCGCGGUAAUACGUAGGGGGCAAGCGUUAUCCGGAUUUACUGGGUGUAAAGGGAGCGUAGACGGCAGUGCAAGUCCGGAGUGAAAGCCCGGGGCUCAACCCUGGGACUGCUCUGGAAACUGCAAAGCUGGAGUGCGGGAGGGGG
rnacentral:rRNA from 1 species